AGUGAACGCUGGCGGUAGGCCUAACACAUGCAAGUCGAACGGCAGCACAGUAAGAGCUUGCUCUUACGGGUGGCGAGUGGCGGACGGGUGAGGAAUACAUCGGAAUCUACUUUUUCGUGGGGGAUAACGUAGGGAAACUUACGCUAAUACCGCAUACGACCUACGGGUGAAAGCAGGGGAUCUUCGGACCUUGCGCGAUUGAAUGAGCCGAUGUCGGAUUAGCUAGUUGGCGGGGUAAAGGCCCACCAAGGCGACGAUCCGUAGCUGGUCUGAGAGGAUGAUCAGCCACACUGGAACUGAGACACGGUCCAGACUCCUACGGGAGGCAGCAGUGGGGAAUAUUGGACAAUGGGCGCAAGCCUGAUCCAGCCAUACCGCGUGGGUGAAGAAGGCCUUCGGGUUGUAAAGCCCUUUUGUUGGGAAGGAAAAGCAGCAGGUUAAUACCCCGCUGUUCUGACGGUACCCAAAGAAUAAGCACCGGCUAACUUCGU
rnacentral:rRNA from 1 species